rnacentral:misc_RNA from 1 species
AAGACUCCUCAACCUGAGGCAACUCUAAUAGCAAAACUCUGUUGACCAGAAGCUUCCCAAAGAAGAUUUGAUUGGCUUGGUUUUUGACUCAAAUAAGAGACCUGACUGAAACAAGUAGACCUAACCUCUUCUUAGCAUCACACUACUUCUCGGAGGCUUGCUAACUUCUGUUGAUUCCAUACCUACUGUCACAACAACCAUUCGAUGUCUCUAGAGUGAGAACCAGAUGG